UUCUUUUUUUUUUUAUUGGAGUUAUUUUACUUGGUUAAGUUAGUAAUUAUACUCAAUUUAUUGACUUAUUAGUUACUAAUAGGACUGGCAAUUGAGCUCGCCAUUCACGAGUCAGCUCGUGUUUGGCUCGAAAUGAGCUCGAGAUUGACUUGCUCGUUUAGUAAACGAGCCAAAUACGAACUGAAUUUUCCAGCUCAUUUAAUAAACCAGCCGGACACGAGCUAGGGUCAGCUCGCUAGUGUUCGGCUCGAUAAUAGCUCGAUUACAUUUAUUUUAUAUUAAUAUAGUUUUUAUAUAUAUUAUAUUUAUAUAUAUAAAUAUAUAGUUAUAUUUGUAUAUAAAUAAAUAAUACGGAUUAUUAUUUUUUAAUUUUUUAGUCCAACUUGAAAAACAAAACCCAACUUAUUUAUAAAGAGGUCCACUUAUAUUUAGAAUUUAGGUUAAUUUCAUACAGAUCCCCGCAAACAUAAAUUGCAGAUAUAUCCCUGCGAAGUUCAACUUUUAGAUCUUAUCCCUGCAAAAGUCCUAAUGUUUUUUAAAUAUGUCCCUCUGGUUAGGAUCCGUUAGAGAAUUGUUAAUUUUUUAACAGUAGAGUUGUGAAAUGAUAAUUUUGCCCUUGCCUUUUUCCUUUUUCUCUUCAGUCUGCGGGAGCGGACGGCGGCGGCGGCGACGGCGACGGCGAUGGCAAUCUUGCGGAGCUUGUUGGGGUUGCGGCCAAUGAGGACGAGGAAAAGGCGGAAGGCGAAGGCGCGGCUGUGUCGUCGGAGGCGCCCGUGACGACAGCCCACGCGGGCACCACGACGACGACGACAAUCGGAUCAUCGACGACGACGACGAAGAAGGAGGAGGAGGAGAAAAGGAGAAGGAAAAUGAGGAUACGAAGAAGAAGAGGAAGAAGAAAAAACAGGAGAGGAAAAGGAAGAAGAGGAAGAAGAAGGGCAAAAUUAUCGAUUCACAUUAUUAAUUAAUUAUGAUUAAGUAUUUUAACUACGGUUAACUAGAUUUCUCUAACGGAUCCUAACGUCAGGAACAUAUCUGAAUACAUUAGGACUUUUUCAGGUAUAACUUAUGAAAGUUAAACUUUGUAGGAAUAUAUAUGUUAUUCAUCAUGUUUGUAGAGAUAUGUAUGAAAUUAAUCCUUAGAAUUUUAAAAGUUGAAUCAAAAUUUAAAG
rnacentral:lncRNA from 1 species